rnacentral:lncRNA from 1 species
GCUAACGUUCUCUCCUUAACAGUUUUACUGGAUGGAAACACAGCAAGAAAACACAUAGGCCAAUAUGUAAUAGUCGUCUAUUUUAUUGAAGUAUUGGUAGUUGGUUCAACAACAACUUGUUUUACUAGAGGACAAAAAAAAUGGAAUAUGCAUAACCCAUAUUUAAUAUUCAUGCAGUGACUGAACAACAACUGCAUUUCCACCCCCACCUCUAAAGGCAUAGUAUCAUGGCAGGUCACCUGUCAAGUCACCUGUCAGGCAGACUUUGCAGUGCCUCCGUGUGCGACUACCUUGAGCAGCAGUUUGAGGGACUUUGCAGGGAAAAUGCCGUGCAGUGAGGCGUAGGGGAUUGUCUACAGCAGGGCGAGUCCAGUGGAGGGGCGCCGAAGGGUGUGGUGCUCCUCCAACAGCUCUCUCAUGAGGUUCUCUCUGUAUUUUUGUAAUGCUGUCUUGAGGUAGACAUUAGAAGACAAGCGUGUCCUCCUUCGUUUAAAGAUUUUGUGCGAG